rnacentral:rRNA from 1 species
GACGAACGCUGGCGGCGUGCCUAAUACAUGCAAGUCGAACGCAGUGGGGACGGGUGAGUAACACGUGGGUAACCUCCCAUCAGAGGGGAUAAAACUUGGAAACAGGUGCUAAACCGCAACUGAGGAUAGGACCCGGGGUGCAUUAGCUAGUUGGUGGGGUAACGGCGCACAAAGGCCAGAAUGCAUAGCCGACCUGAGAGGGUGACCGGCCACACUGGGACUGAGACACGGCCCAGACUCCUACGGGAGGCAGCAGUAGGGAAUCUUCGGCAAUGGACGAAAGUCUGACCGAGCAACGCCGCGUGAGUGAAGAAGGUUUUCGGAUCGUAAAACUCUGUUGUUAGAGAAGCGGUAUCUAACCAGAAAGCCACGGCUAACUACGUGCCAGCAGCCGCGGUAAUUC